GAUGAACGCUGGCGGCGUGCUUAACACAUGCAAGUCGAACGAAGCACUUUAUUUGAUUUCCUUCGGGACUGAUUAUUUUGUGACUGAGUGGCGGACGGGUGAGUAACGCGUGGGUAACCUGCCUUGUACAGGGGGAUAACAGUUGGAAACGGCUGCUAAUACCGCAUAAGCGCACAGCAUCGCAUGAUGCAGUGUGAAAAACUCCGGUGGUAUAAGAUGGACCCGCGUUGGAUUAGCUAGUUGGUGAGGUAACGGCCCACCAAGGCGACGAUCCAUAGACGACCUGAGAGGGUGACCGGCCACAUUGGGACUGAGACACGGCCCAAACUCCUACGGGAGGCAGCAGUGGGGAAUAUUGCACAAUGGGCGAAAGCCUGAUGCAGCGACGCCGCGUGAGCGAAGAAGUAUUUCGGUAUGUAAAGCUCUAUCAGCAGGGAAGAUAAUGACGGUACCUGACUAAGAAGCACCGGCUAAAUACGUG
rnacentral:rRNA from 1 species